GGGCGAUUAGCUCAGCUGGCAGAGCAGGUGACUCUUAAUCACAAGGUCUGGGGUUCGAUCCCCCAAUCGCCCACCA
rnacentral:tRNA from 1 species